GUUAUUCUUCCCGCUCCUUUUUUCAAGACUCUCGCUCGGAGAGGGUUUGGUUCUAGAAACCCUCGCUUCUCUAGGGUUUUCCUUCCUCGAGCAAGCAACCAUCGCUCAGAAGGAUCCUCAUGAGAGAAUCGAGCAACCCCUCUCUCUCUUUAUAAUUUUAAUCUCUCGAUCUCGAUCAUCUUUGCGCAACUCCCUGUCUCGCUCGAUCUUUUAAUGUUUCCCAAUCGCUUCCACCAUUCUUCAGUCUCAUGUUCGCUGAUCAUUGGAUGCUGUAGCUGGAGACAUGGGGAGAUCGAUCGGCAUCAUCAAUAUUAGGGAUUAGAUUUCCCCUCAGACUGUGAGAAAAAUUGUGAUUCAUUCAGGAAGAACGAGGAGUUGUUCACCCCCACAGACGGAGGAGGUCAACAAGCAACUCGAUCAGAGCCGAAGACCUGGGGAGAUCGAUCGGUAUCAUCACUAUUAGGGAUUAGAUUUCCCCUCAGACUGUGAGAAAAAUUCUGACUCAUCCAGGAAGAACGAGGAGUUGUUCACCCUCACAGACGGAGGGAUCAUGCGGCAGCUCCUCAUUCAUCUCAAGAGACGAAGGAGGUCAACAAGCAACUUGGUCAGUGUAGGAUCUCGCACAGCAGGCUCAAGCCUUAUCUCAAUGGUGUAAAUGCAAAGGGUAUCAAGGACUGUUUGGAUGCUGUUCUCAAAAGGAGACUUGUAUUCAGAGUUGACACUGAACUUGUUGGAGAAGAAUUGCUUCCUCAAUAUGAAGCUGAUAAAAUUGUUGAUGGUGAGCUUAGGUCUCUGCUGCAAUUUCUCUUUGCACGGUAGAGUUGCAACUCUUUGUCCUUCCUUACUUGGGAUUAUAUACUGAAGGGCUUAUACUGCAAGUGAUUCGAGCAAGUUGUAGACUAUGAUGCAUUUCGUUUGAGCAGUAUGACUGAACCAAUGGAGCAUAUGUUUAUAUAGGCAAGGAAGACAUGAAUGCUGCAGAAAAUGAAGGCAAUUCGUGAUGGUGAUCAGAAUAGCAAGGGGCAAUGGAAGUGAACUGUAGAAACUUUGACCAGAAAAUUUACAAAGAUUUAGGAAAAGGUUUGUAGAUGAUGUGUGUGGAGGACAAGUCGGUCAACCAUAACUUGAGGAAAUGCUCAUGAUGGAUAGCACAGGAAACUUAGCUCAAGGAAGUGUUCCUGUUGUUCUAUACUUGAAACUUGCAUGGCAUAGGUGGUCAGCUUGAGUGGUGUACUGUGUACAUUCUUGUGGAUGUUUUUUUGGACCGCAAAUUAUCAUACAUGAAAUUAUGAAACUCAAGUUGAAAGGUGUAUCAUAAGACAACUCAAGUCUCGAAGCAUCUCUAAACCAUGGUGGUAGAGAAAGACGGUGGUCUACCCCUCCAGUCUGCUCACUCUUUUUUUGCAAUUUUGUUAGUAAGAAGAUGCCUGAAAAUUGUGGAGAUUGGCCGUUCUGUUAAGUUGUAGUUUUGGUAGGUCUGGAACUGGUGAGCCCGUGCACUUAUUUCCAGUGUUUAAUUUGAUCUGUUAGUCAUAAACAACGUAUACAGGUGCAUGUUGGACCGACCCACGCCUCACCUGCACAGGUGUGCACGAUUGAGGUUUAUUUAUUAACUUCAGCUUUAGCUUUUUAAAUGCUCCAAGCAGAGCACGAUGGCAGCAGAGUACUGGUGGCUUUAUUGCAGCUUCUUUUCGCAGGUUAUGACUAACAAUACAGCUCUUUAGACAGGCAACUAUAGUUGGCAAACCUAUAUGAUUCGAAGAUCACCAUGUCAAAGAGUUGACAUAGUAACUCGUCCGGGAUAAGUAGUAAAAUCUUAUUUCUUCGAAUAAGGUUCUGGAAUUGCAUUUCAGAAUUUGUAUCCGGGGAUUUCAUUUCAUGGUCUUCAGACUGACCCUUAGGUAAAAUCGAAUUGAAUGCAGUUUGGAGCGGGCGAAAUGUUUAAGAUUCUCUUGAUAGGUUUUACAGGGUUCCAUUCUGGAUUUCUGCGGGAAUAAAAUUAGGUUCUUUUUCUAAUUUUUAGCAUGCUCGAAAAUAGGUCUGUCAAUACAAUUUUAGGGAACUGGUUAUAUACUGAUCUUUUAUUUUUCGGUUCCGCAAAUUCAGGAAAUGGAGGAAUUGAGAAAACGAAAUGGAUAUUCAAAUAAUCAAUUGGUUACCCCGAUUAUCCUAGUUUUAUAUCUCAUGUUUCGUUACACAGUCACUUAUUCGUAAAAAACAAACGACGCAGGAUAACGAUAGUCUUACUUUGUUAUCGCUUCAUAAAUACUUAUCUCUUUUCUUACGGACCUCAAUUCUUUUUUUCUUUCACCGCAGAUAAACUGGAAUGUGGAAUCGCUGAUAACCAACCACUAAGGUUGUGUUUGUUGGACUGAUGCCUGUGGUGACCUCAAAUUCAUGGAAUUAUGGUGGACUGCUUCCCUCUUCCUACUCAAUCCAAGCUUUAAUCCUUGGUUUUCAACAUAAAGCAAUGCUAUUGAGAUCCUUAAUUUGUUUAAACUGCGGAUCUCCUAAAACACACAUUUUUAUGCAGUUUAGGUUCAAGACAAUCAAAUGAUUAUCAAGGCCGAAUAAUAGGUGACUAAACCUAGGUUUUGCUCAUGUUUGCUUCUUUAAUUAAAAUAACAAAAUGAUAGAAAUUUUGACAAAAUCAUCGAAGCAUACGUUUUCGAUUUUAUAGUUGAUAGAAAAAGUGGUAAUAAUUUUUUUGUUUCAUAUAUGUGUAUAGAAGAGUAUAAAUUUUUUUUGUGCGCAUUAGAAAGGAGUGAAUAGACUCUAACCGUGGAUGGCGCAGCUGUGUGGGAGUCUGCGUCUUUUAAUAUCUUAUGGACUGAAAGAUGGUGGAGCAGCCAAAUGAAGAACUGUUGGCGUGGAUGCUGAUGCAGAAGUCAUCAUCAGUGGUGGACAGCAUCUGUUGUGUGGGAAGAAGUGUUGCGCAUCUAAACGUUAGUAGAAUUAUUUUUGGUAAUCGUGGUGUGGUUGUUGUCUGAACGGAAAUCUGCUGUGUGGGAAGAAGCGUUGUCCAUCUACACGUGAGUGAAUUUAUUUUGUAGUCGUGGAGUGGCUGUCAGCUGUGGACAGCAACCUGUUGUGUAUUUUGUAGUCGUGGAG